rnacentral:rRNA from 1 species
AGCAGGCGCGAAAACUUUACAAUGCGGGAAACCGUGAUAAGGGGACACCGAGUGCCAGCAUCAUAUGCUGGCUGUCCAGGUGUGUAAAAUACACCUGUUAGCAAGGGCCGGGCAAGACCGGUGCCAGCCGCCGCGGUAACACCGGCGGCCCGAGUGGUGAUCGUGAUUAUUGGGUCUAAAGGGUCCGUAGCCGGUUUGGUCAGUCCUCCGGGAAAUCUGAUAGCUUAACUAUUAGGCUUUCGGAGGAUACUGCCAGACUUGGAACCGGGAGAGGUAAGAGGUACUACAGGGGUAGGAGUGAAAUCUUGUAAUCCCUGUGGGACCACCUGUGGCGAAGGCGUCUUACCAGAACGGGUUCGACGGUGAGGGACGAAAGCUGGGGGCACGAACCGGAUUAGAUACCCGGGUAGUCCCAGCCGUAAACGAUGCUCGCUAGGUGUCAGGCAUGGCGCGACCGUGUCUGGUGCCGCAGGGAAGCCGUGAAGCGAGCCACCUGGGAAGUACGGCCGCAAGGCUGAAACUUAAAGGAAUUGGCGGGGGAGCAC